CGUAGGUAACACAAUCUAUCUCACACAUAGUUUUCUGUUUCGCAGAUUUUGCGCACCAAUCUUCCCACGACGACGAACAUAUCUUUGGGAAUUGAGGAUUUGUUUUCUGUUCUUCCGCUGCACAUUUGAUGUCGCUGAACAGACCCUAAGCUUUUAUCGUAAAAGAAAGAAGGGAAUAGGGAAUGAUCGCUUCGAGGGGAACGACCUCCUUGAUCGCUUCGAGGGGAUCGGCCUCCUAGGGUUUGUCCAUAGACUGGAAUAAUAUUUCAUUGAUUGAUUGAUUCAUUGAUUUCCGAAAAGAAAGGGUUACAUCACUAUUUAUAGAGUUCCACCCAGAGUCCACCAGGACUUAGACUCUAAUAAUAAAUAAAUAUUAAAUAAACCUCUACCUGACUCUAACUGAACCAAAUAAACUCAAUAAAUAACUGAACUAAACAUACUCAAUAAAUAUUAUUGAAAAGCUCAGAAAAAAGGUCCUAACAAUUCCUCCCUCUUCAAAUCAGCCUUAUCCUCAAGGUUGAGCAGCAUCAAACUCGGGGAGCUUCUCUUUCAGCACUUUAGUCUUAGGCUAUCUAUAAUGCAUCACAACCUAUUGAUCAAGUAAGUAUGGUCUCCACUUUCUGACAGUGUAUACAACAGGUUGGUCUUUUAGUGUAGUAAUUGUUGCAAGAAUCUCGUGGCCCUGUAUAAUCAAAUUUUUCUUUGAACAUUUGCUAUCACAAGUUAAAAUUCGUCCAUCAAUGAUCUUUACUUCGAAUCUGUCACAGCCUUCAAUGUGGUAAGCUAAUCGAGCUGCAACUUUCUUGUCCAUAAAAUUAUUAGUGCUGCACGUAUCAAUCAAAAUAAUGACAGGCUGAUGCUUCAAAGUUCCUUUGAUUUUCAUAG
rnacentral:lncRNA from 1 species